CGGGGACGGGUAGGGUAAGUAAGUAUCGUACGGGAAAGUCGCCUGAGGGAGGGGGAUAACUACUAGAAACGGUAGCUAAUACCGCAUAACGUCGCAAGACCAAAGAGGGGGACCUUCGGGCCUCUUGCCAUCGGAUGUGCCCAGAUGGGAUUAGCUAGUAGGUGGGGUAACGGCUCACCUAGGCGACGAUCCCUAGCUGGUCUGAGAGGAUGACCAGCCACACUGGAACUGAGACACGGUCCAG
rnacentral:rRNA from 1 species